rnacentral:tRNA from 1 species
UUGGGUGGUUCUUUUUAACUUGCAAUUAAAUAUAGUUACCUCAACAGUAACACCCCCC